rnacentral:rRNA from 1 species
UGGGGAAUUUUGGACAAUGGGGGCAACCCUGAUCCAGCAAUGCCGCGUGUGUGAAGAAGGCCUUCGGGUUGUAAAGCACUUUUGUCCGGAAAGAAAACUUCGGGGCUAAUACCCCUGGAGGAUGACGGUACCGGAAGAAUAAGCACCGGCUAACUACGUGCCAGCAGCCGCGGUAAUACGUAGGGUGCGAGCGUUAAUCGGAAUUACUGGGCGUAAAGCGUGCGCAGGCGGUGCUGUAAGACCGAUGUGAAAUCCCCGGGCUGAACCUGGGAACUGCAUUGGUGACUGCAGCGCUAGAGUAUGGCAGAGGGGGGUGGAAUUCCACGUGUAGCAGUGAAAUGCGUAGAGAUGUGGAGGAACACCGAUGGCGAAGGCAGCCCCCUGGGCCAAUACUGACGCUCAUGCACGAAAGCGUGGGGAGCAAACAGG